UACGUAGGGUGCGAGCGUUAAUCGGAAUUACUGGGCGUAAAGCGUGCGCAGGCGGUUCGUUAAGUUCGUUGUGAAAGCCCCGGGCUCAACCUGGGAACUGCAAUGGAAACUGGCGGGCUUGAGUGCGGCAGAGGAGACUGGAAUUCCUGGUGUAGCAGUGAAAUGCGUAGAUAUCAGGAGGAAUACCGAUGGCGAAGGCAGGUCUCUGGGCUGACACUGACGCUCAUGCACGAAAGCGUGGGGAGCAAACAGG
rnacentral:rRNA from 1 species